rnacentral:rRNA from 1 species
AUACGUAGGGGGCAAGCGUUAUCCGGAUUUACUGGGUGUAAAGGGAGCGUAGACGGUGUGACAAGUCUGAUGUGAAAACCCGGGGCUCAACUCCGGGAUUGCAUUGGAAACUGCCAUACUUGAGUGCAGGAGAGGUAAGCGGAAUUCCUAGUGUAGCGGUGAAAUGCGUAGAUAUUAGGAGGAACACCGGCGGCGAAGGCGGCUUUCUGGACUGUAACUGACGUUGAGGCUCGAAAGCGUGGGGAGCAAACAGGAUUAGAUACCCUGGUAGUCCACGCGGUAAACGGUGAAUACUAGGUGUUGGGGGUCUAUAGACCCUCGGUGCCGCAGCAAACGCAAUAAGUAUUCCACCUGGGGAGUACGUUCGCAAGAAUGAAACUCAAAUGAAUUGACGGGG